UGGUCACCCAGACCUAAGAACGAGAUGG
rnacentral:piRNA from 1 species